AAGGUUUCCGUAGGUGAACCUGCGGAAGGAUCAUUAAUAAAAUAAACCUGAUGAGUAGUCGCUGGUUCUCUUUUUGGGAGCAUGUGCACGCUUGUCAUCUUUAUCUCUCCACCUGUGCACCUUUUGUAGACCUGGAGUUUUCUAGGUCUAUGUUUUCUUCAUAUACCCAAUGUAUGUCACAGAAUGUAAUCAAUAUGGGCCUUUGUGUCUAUAAAAACCUAUACAACUUUCAGCAACGGAUCUCUUGGCUCUCGCAUCGAUGAAGAACGCAGCGAAAUGCGAUAAGUAAUGUGAAUUGCAGAAUUCAGUGAAUCAUCGAAUCUUUGAACGCACCUUGCGCUCCUUGGUAUUCCGAGGAGCAUGCCUGUUUGAGUGUCAUUAAUAUAUCAACCUCUUGUUUGAGUGUUUGGAUGUGGGGGUUUCAUUUGCUGGCACAAGGUCAGCUCCCCUAAAAUACAUUAGCAGAACAAUCGUUCAUUGGUGUGAUAACUAUCUACACUAUUGACCGCGAAGCAGUUCAGCUUCUAACCCAAAUUUUUUCAUUAAUGUGACCUCAAAUCAGGUAGGACUACCCGCUGAACUUAAGC
rnacentral:rRNA from 1 species